rnacentral:tRNA from 1 species
UCCCACGUGGUCUAGUGGUUAGGAUUCGGCGCUUUCACCGCCGCGCACCGGGUUCAAUUCCCGGCGUGGGAA